AAAGGAGUGAUCCGGCAGAGGAUGGACAUGCGGCGCAUUAGCUAGUCGGCGGGGUAACGGCCCACCGAGGCUACGAUGCGUAGGGGUUCUGAGAGGAAGGUCCCCCACACUGGUACUGAGACACGGACCAGACUCCUACGGGAGGCAGCAGUGAGGAAUAUUGGUCAAUGGGCGGAAGCCUGAACCAGCCAAGUCGCGUGAGGGAAGACGGUCCUAUGGAUUGUAAACCUCUUUUGCAGGGGAACAAGGCGCGGUACGUGUACCGCGAAGGAGAGUACCCUGAGAAAAAGCAUCGGCUAACUCCGUGCCAGCAGCCGCGGUAAUACGGAGGAUGCGAGCGUUAUCCGGAUUUAUUGGGUUUAAAGGGUGCGCAGGCGGACUGUUAAGUCAGCGGUAAAAUGUCGGUGCUCAACACCGGCCGGCCGUUGAAACUGGCAGCCUUGAGUGAGCGAGAAGUAUGCGGAAUGCGUGGUGUAGCGGUGAAAUGCAUAGAUAUCACGCAGAACUCCGAUUGCGAAGGCAGCAUACCGGCGCUCAACUGACGCUCAGGCACGAAAGCGUGGGUAUCGAACAGGCUUAGAUACCCUGGUAGUCCACGCAGUAAACGAUGAAUGCUCACUGUCCGGGCCGUUUAAGGCCUGG
rnacentral:rRNA from 1 species